UAUCUCAGUUCGGAUUGGAGGCUGAAACCCGCCUCCAUGAAGUUGGAUUCGCUAGUAAUCGCGCAUCAGCCAUGGCGCGGUGAAUACGUUCCCGGGCCUUGUACACACCGCCCGUCAAGCCAUGGGAGCUGGGGGUGCCUGAAGUUCGUGACCGCAAGGAUCGACCUAGGGCAAAACCGGUGACUGGGGCUAAGUCGUAACAAGGUACC
rnacentral:rRNA from 1 species